rnacentral:rRNA from 1 species
CCCUUAGAUGUUCUGGGCGACCCGCGCACUACAUUGGCACUGGCAACAAGAUCCUAGAUCUGGUAUUUCGGGGUAUUCUACCAACUGGUGUCGUGACUGGGAUUAACCCCUGCAAUUAUUGGUUAUGAACGAGGAAUUCCUUGUAAUCACGGUUUAUCAACCCGUGUUGAAUGCGUCCCUGCCCUUUGUACACACCGCCCGUCGCUCCUACCGAUGAAUCGUCCGGUGAAGUUCAUGGAGUCGCGGCUGCUCCAGCUGUUUUCGAAGUGAAAUGGACCUCAUGAUUUAGAGGAAGGAGAAGUCGUAACA